AGGAUAAGCAAUAAACAUUGCAUUUAUUAGCUUCUUGUGAGUAAAUAUUUAUCUAUCACUCCUUGGCUGUAUGCUACUGUUGCAUAUUCAGUGCUCCCUGACGCACCUGUACCAUGUGGUCUGCAAACAGAAGAAAAUUCUUCACCACAUGACAAGACAGACACAACAGUGAGUUCUGGGAAUGCAAAGCAGCUUCAAUGGAGAUACAGAAGGGAGGACCAUGGCCCAUUACCUCUUGGAAUUUCCUGAUUUGAGGGGUUCACUGAGGAACCUAAAUGCUGCAUUUGAGCUAGCUUCUACCCGGCAGAGGCUAAGGCAGUGUGGUCAGCAUUGGUGGGGCUGGAAGGGAGCAGAGCUGCAGCUGUGUUGCACAGUGAUGGAACCUGGAGCAGGAUGAUAUGUGCCAAUGCAGUAUUGGAACACAGUGUAUGAUAGAUGAUAUAAGAGAUGGCCAAUUCCUUUCGACCACUUUUGAACAGUAAAUUUUGGUUCCCAAACCUGCUCAGAUGUGGAAGCUCUGAGACACAGAAAAGCCUUACAUGGUUCAUGGACCUGGACUGUCUGCUGGAAGAGCUGCCAGGAAUGAUAAAAAUGAUAAUAAAUUUGCUUUUACUGCUCGUCUCUGUUGUAGUAAAUUUGUCCCGUAUCUUUACACAAAAAUGUGUACUGACCCUUUUUACAAACCCCUAAGGAGAAAUUUGUGCACAAAAGUAACAUUCUCUUUCUCUUCACUUCUGUUUGUGGUGUCUUUUUAUAAUUUGUGGAAGGUGUCCAACAGGUUGGAAAAUGCAUUGGAAAUCUAAUCCAGACAUGUCAGUGCAACACUGGUGUUAGUUUAAACAAAAACUAAGCAAGUUUUCCCCUUUGCAAAGCAAUCUCUCCAAAAAUACUUCUCUGAUUCAGAGAUUUAUUUAUUUUUGGUCCUGACUUAACUUCUUCUGUA